AGAGCGGAUUAGCGGCGGACGGGUGAGUAACACGUGAGUAACCUGCCUUAGACAUUGGGAUAGCCUCGGGAAACCGGGAUUAAUACCAAAUAAAAUCAUAAUGACACAUGUCAUAACGAUCAAAACUCCGGUGGUCUAAGAUGGACUCGCGUCCCAUUAGCUAGUUGGUAGAGUAAAAGCCUACCAAGGCGACGAUGGGUAGCCGGCCUGAGAGGGUGAACGGCCACAUUGGAACCGAGAAACGGUCCAA
rnacentral:rRNA from 1 species